rnacentral:rRNA from 1 species
GCACAAGCGGUGGAGCAUUGUUGGUUUAAUUCGAAGCAACGCGAAGAACCUUACCAGGUCUUGACAUCCCGAAUUGCUUAUUUCUAGAGAUAGAAAGUUACUUCGGUACAUCGGUGACAGGUGGUGCAUGGUUGUCGUCAGCUCGUGUCGUGAGAUGUUGGGUUAAGUCCCGCAACGAGCGCAACCCCUAUUGUUAGUUGCCAUCAUUCAGUUGGGCACUCUAGCGAGACUGCCGGUAAUAAACCGGAGGAAGGUGGGGAUGACGUCAAAUCAUCAUGCCCCUUAUGACCUGGGCUACACACGUGCUACAAUGGUUGGUACAACGAGUUGCGAGUCGGUGACGGCGAGCUAAUCUCUUAAAGCCAAUCUCAGUUCGGAUUGUAGGCUGCAACUCGCCUACAUGAAGUCGGAAUCGCUAGUAAUCGCGGAUCGGCACGCCGCGGUGAAUACGUUCCCGGGCCUU